rnacentral:rRNA from 1 species
CAGCCGCCGCGGUAAUACGAAGGGUGCAAGCGUUAAUCGGAAUUACUGGGCGUAAAGCGUGCGUAGGCGGUGAGUUAAGUCUGCUGUGAAAUCCCCGGGCUUAACCUGGGAAUGGCAGUGGAUACUGGCUCGCUAGAGUGUGUCAGAGGAUGGUGGAAUUCCCGGUGUAGCGGUGAAAUGCGUAGAGAUCGGGAGGAACAUCAGUGGCGAAGGCGGCCAUCUGGGACAACACUGACGCUGAGGCACGAAAGCGUGGGGAGCAAACAGGAUUAGAUACCCCCGUAGUCCCUGUCUCUUAUAC